rnacentral:tRNA from 1 species
CGGGCCCUUGGCGAACGGCAUCGCGUUGGCGUUGCUGACGUCGGCGCGGUUGAAGUUCGGUUCGUCGUGAUCGUCC